rnacentral:misc_RNA from 1 species
UCUGGCUGGUGCACUGCCUCGUCACUAGUUUGAUAGUGGAUACGAGAAAGAAGGUCGGGUCACGCUGGCCACAGAGUCCAUGUGAGUCCUCCAGGUCGUCCUCUUUUAGAGGACGUACGUAGAUCGCGGAGGCAUGUGGUCCGGCGGAAGUAGAGGCUGGGCAGUUUCAACCCGUUCAUUGGAGGAGCGUAUUGGAUAUCAGUAUUUGUUCAGUCUUGGUGUUAAAGGUCCUGCCAAUACUGACUACUGAAGGGAGGCCAGUACUGAAGGGAGAACCAAACCAGCGUGUCCUGACAACCUCUAACCUGACAACAUGCAGCGCCUUCCAGAGAGGAAUGACACUGCCUCGCACCAGCUCUGACCUGACAACACGCAGCGUCAUCCAGGGAGGGAGGACACAAUUCCUCGCUGCCCCUUCCCUGAAAACACGGCGUCAUCCAGGGAGGGAGGACAGUCUCGCACUGACCUGUCUCUCUGCCCCUUCCCUGAUAACGCACAGCGUCAUCC